GAAAUGCGAUAAGUAGUGUGAAUUGCAGAAUUCAGUGAAUCAUCGAAUCUUUGAACGCACAUUGCGCCCCUCGGCAUUCCGUGGGGCAUGCCUGUUCGAGCGUCAUCUACACCCUCAAGCUCUGCUUGGUGUUGGGCGUCUGUCCCGCCUCCGCGCGCGGACUCGCCCCAAAUGCAUUGGCAGCGGUUCCUUGCCCCCCUCUUUGCGCAGCUCAUUGCCAUUCGAGGCGGCGGCGGCCCGCGUCCAACAAGCUCAACCCCCCCGUCUUUGACCUCGGAUCAGGUAGGGAUACCCGCUGAACUUAAGC
rnacentral:misc_RNA from 1 species